rnacentral:rRNA from 1 species
CCAGUAGGCGGCCAACUCAGUCGGAUGUGAAAUCCCCAGGCUCAACUUGGGAACUGCAUCCGAUACUAGCUGGCUUGAAUUCGGGAGAGGGAUGCAGAAUUCCAGGUGUAGCGGUGAAAUGCGUAGAUAUCUGGAGGAAUACCGGUGGCGAAGGCGGCAUCCUGGACCGACAUUGACGCUGAACGGCGAAAGCUAGGGGAGCAAACG